CGUCAGCUCGUGUCGUGAGAUGUUGGGUUAAGUCCCGCAACGAGCGCAACCCUUUGUCACUAGUUGCCAUCAUUUGGUUGGGCACUCUAGUGAGACUGCCGGUGACAAACCGGAGGAAGUGGGGAUGACGUCAAGUCCUCAUGGCCCUUAUGGGUAGGGCUUCACACGUCAUACAAUGGAUGGUACAAAGGGUCGCCAACCCGCGAGGGGGAGCCAAUCCCAUAAAGCCAUUCGUAGUCCGGAUCGCAGUCUGCAACUCGACUGCGUGAAGUCGGAAUCGCUAGUAAUCGUGGAUCAGAAUGUCACGGUGAACACGUUCCCGGGUCUU
rnacentral:rRNA from 1 species